CUGCUGCCUUCCGUAGGAGUCUGGGCCGUGUCUCAGUCCCAGUGUGGCCGUCCACCCUCUCAGGCCGGCUGCUGAUCGUCGCUUUGGUGGGCCGUUACCCCGCCAACUGGCUAAUCAGACGCGGGCCCAUCCUGUACCACCGGAGUUUUCAAAGGAUUACCAUGCGGUAUUCCCUAUUAUGCGGUAUUAGCACCUAUUUCUAAGUGUUAUCCCCCGGUAUACGGGCAGGUUNCCACGCGUUACUCACCCGUCCGCCACUAA
rnacentral:rRNA from 1 species